AACGAACGCUGGCGGCAGGCCUAACACAUGCAAGUCGAGCGCCCCGCAAGGGGAGCGGCCGACGGGUGAGUAACGCGUGGGAACGUACCUUUUGGUUCGGAACAACUCCGGGAAACUGGAGCUAAUACCGGAUAAGCCCUAACGGGGAAAGAUUUAUCGCCGAAAGAUCGGCCCGCGUCUGAUUAGCUAGUUGGUGAGGUAACGGCUCACCAAGGCGACGAUCAGUAGCUGGUCUGAGAGGAUGAUCAGCCACACUGGGACUGAGACACGGCCCAGACUCCUACGGGAGGCAGCAGUGGGGAAUAUUGGACAAUGGGCGCAAGCCUGAUCCAGCCAUGCCGCGUGAGUGAUGAAGGCCUUAGGGUUGUAAAGCUCUUUUGUCCGGGAAGAUAAUGACUGUACCGGAAGAAUAAGCCCCGGCUAACUUCGUG
rnacentral:rRNA from 1 species